rnacentral:rRNA from 1 species
UCCAGACUCCUACGGGAGGCAGCAGUGGGGGAUAUUGCACAAUGGGGGAAACCCUGAUGCAGCGACGCCGCGUGGGUGAAGAAGCGCCUCGGCGCGUAAAGCCCUGUCAGCAGGGAAGAAAAUGACGGUACCUGAAGAAGAAGCCCCGGCUAACUACGUGCCAGCAGCCGCGGUAAUACGUAGGGGGCAAGCGUUAUCCGGAUUUACUGGGCGUAAAGGGAGCGCAGGCGGCGCGCCAAGUCUGAUGUGAAACCCCGGGGCUCAACCCCGGGCAUGCAUUGGAAACUGGCGGGCUGGAGUGCCGGAGAGGUAAGCGGAAUUCCUAGUGUAGCGGUGAAAUGCGUAGAUAUUAGGAGGAACACCAGUGGCGAAGGCGGCUUACUGGACGGCAACUGACGCUGAGGCUCGAAAGCGUGGGGAGCAAACAGGAUUAGAUACCCGUGUAC